CGCCCCCAACAUUUGUUUUCACUAUAUAUUCAUGCUCCCACCUUCCCCACGCAGCUAAAACCAACCCAAAACACACAACCUUCCACCGAAAAAUGGCCGCCGAUGCCGCCGCCGCCACCGCUUUUCUCUUCAUUCUCCUUUCACUCAUCACCCCCUCUCUCGGUCUGACCUGCAACCCCCACCCCUCCUUCCCCAACAACAGGACUUACUCCAGCUGCACCGCCCUCCCCCACCUCAACGCCACCCUCCACUUCACCUUCGACCCCUCCAACUCCUCCCUCUCCCUCGCUUUCUCCGCCGCGCGGCCCUCCUCCUCCCCCGGUGGCGGCGGAGGCGGAUGGGUCGCCUGGGCCAUCAACCCGACCUCCACCGGCAUGGUUGGAGCGCAAGCACUGAUGGCGCUCAAGAGCUCCGCCGGCUCAGUCGUUGCCAAGACCUUCAACAUCUCCUCGUACCACUCCAUUGCCGAGUCCAAGCUGUCGUUCGACGUGUGGCACCUGAGCGCCGACGAGGCCAGCGGGACCAUGAGGUUGUUCGCAUCAGUGAAGGUUCCGGCAGGCUCAAGGAGCCUGAAUCAGGUGUGGCAAGUGGGCAGUGCAGUCGAUGGAACGAGGCCGAGGAUCCACGACAUGGCAGAUGCCAACAAGGACGCCAAGGCGACCCUAGUGCUGGCGGCGGCUGGGAGCAGUAUUGGUGGUUCUCCGGCGGUUUCUCCGGUACCGGCGCCGGCCAGUGGGGUUUCAAGGGUUGGGGAGGCGAGUACCGCUGCUACUGCUUUCUUGGUCUUGAGCUUGGUUUUUCUAGGCAGUAGUUACUUCGGGCUUUACUAAAUGUUUCUUUCGUGACAAUAUAGAUGUUCUUCAAUUUUUGUCUAAUCUCGAGCUUAGUUAAGCUCAAAUUCAACCUCGAGAUUGCAUUUGUUUAGCAAAAAAUGCCUUGAAAUUGAAAAGCAAUAGUGUCUAUUUGCAUAAUUAUAACAAGA